AGCAGUCGCCGCGGGAAUACGGAGGGUGCAAGCGUUAAUCGGAAUUACUGGGCGUAAAGCGCACGCAGGCGGUCUGACAAGUCAGAUGUGAAAUCCCCGGGCUUAACCUGGGAACUGCAUUUGAAACUGUCAGGCUGGAGUCUUGUAGAGGGGGGUGGAAUUCCAGGUGUAGCGGUGAAAUGCGUAGAGAUCUGGAGGAAUACCGGUGGCGAAGGCGGCCCCCUGGACAAAGACUGACGCUCAGGUGCGAAAGCGUGGGGAGCAAACAGGAUUAGAUACCCGGGUAGUCCCUGUCUCUUAUAC
rnacentral:rRNA from 1 species